CUUAUAUACAAUUUGGUUCUGGGGUUUCCACGCCUCUGGAUCCUCCUUCUAUGGCCUGAUCCAUUCACUCUUUCCACUAUUAGAUUCCAUAUUUGGAUUACACCGCUGGAACUCUCAGCCCUCGUCCUCUUUUGUUUAUUUCAGAGUAGUCAAGACUUAAGUGUACUUCUUGGGGAUUCGUCUCUAGUGUUUAUCCAAUGCAGGCCUCUUGUUAAACACUUCUAAAUAGGGUGAUGGUAUUGUGGUUCAGGUUUUGGACACUGCAUUCCUCCUUCUCCUCCUUUUAAGAGUGAUGAGCCCCAGAAGUCUGUGCCUAGUGGAUGAGAUCAGCCAUUGAGGAAUGCAGGGAACUCAUUAAAAACAGGCCACCAACAGCUGGGAAGUACCAACAAGCACAAGGUGAAGACAAGGAGAAGACAAGGGGAGCUCCAGAGAAGUAACCCACAGUUCACUCUGCUGGUGAGACCGCCAUUGUUUAGUGUGGGACAGCUUUUAAACGCAGGAGUUUCGCUCCUUCUUGUGGCGCAGCAGGAAAACAAACAACUGUCCGCACGAGCUAACCUAACGUCCUCCUCCUGCAGGUGACGUCACACGGCGGGCGCUGAUUUGAGAGCGCCACAGGAGAAGAAGAAGAAGUAGUAGUGGAAGAAGGAGGAGGAGAAGAAGAAGAAGAGGCUGAGGCGCUGCUGAACCUGCAGUGAGUGAACGAACGAACGAACGAACACGGGCUGGAUGUCGGACGGUCUAGUUCCUCCGAGUCACACCGACAGAAGUGGGAUUAUCUCGGCCAGCGUGUGCCACAGCAGCUCGGCACGGAUCUCAUGUGGAUGUAUUCACGUAGGGGAAAGAAGAAAGAGGAGCGCUGUUUUCUUUUUCGCUGACUCCGGAAUACAACGACCGUUAAUUUCAAAGAAAGGUACCUCCUUUGACCUACUACAAGGCUUAACGGAGGACAAAAAUGCAGUCCAUUGCAUGGAUGAAUGGACAGUACCAACAGGUUGGACCACCCUCUCAAUCACAACAAGGGGCUACUCUGCUUACCUCACCCACAGUGUGGAUCCAGCAAGCUGGGACAGCAAAUAACUCCUCAAGCACAUGUGUCCGACCACCACAAAGUGCUCAUUCCACCCUUCGUGAUGGAGCUUACUCUGACAGACGGACGGCACACCGGCAGAACUCAGGAGUUCCUCAUCGGGGAGUUUCUUCUCGGCUGUCAGCAGGGGGGGAGACUCAAUCACAACAAAGUACUACUCAGCUUACCUCACCUACAAUGUGGAUCCAGCAAGCUGGGACAGCAAGUAACUCCUCAAGCACAUGUGUCCGACCACCACAAAGUGCUCACUCCACCUUUCGUGAUGGAGCUUACUCUGACAGACUGACUUCACACCGGACUUCACAGAACUCAGGAGUUCCUCAUCGGACAGUUUCUUCUCAGCUGGCAGCAGGAGGGGAGACUAACAAUUAUUAUGUGGAAGUGAUGCAGGGCAAUCUACAAGACUCAUUUACAAAUGCGCAAAGUGGAAACCCUUGUGUCACGAAUGGACUACAGGUUGCCACUCAGCAAGGUUUUCAUUCCAACACUGGAUUUGUCAGUUCAGUGAGCCAGAUUCCACCAAACAUGAUGAAAUCAAAUACUACAUACCCUCAGCAAGACAAGUCGGCACGUUGGAACCAACAGGCAAAUGAACAGAUGGUUUAUACCAGUGCACCCAACAGGCAGACUGCUCAUAACCAGAAUCACAGACAAAAUCUCACUCAGCAUGGAUUCUCUUCUUCCAACUCUCUACCAACUUAUAAUCAGGCUGUCUCUCACUCUGUCGGAAAUUACAGAACUACAGAGCAGGUUUCCAGCACGAGGCAGAUGACUCAACAGUACCAAACUAAUGUCAACUCAAGAAAUAUGAACAUGAACCAUGAAACUCAUCGUUUCCUGUCCAAAACAAAUGAGGUUCCCUUCAAUCCCGCUGCUGCUGCUACACAAGAGGAAAUACUAAGGUCCCAGAUCAUCGCAAGAAUAGAGGAUGAUUUACGCAGGUCGUGCACAGAGAGGUCCAAUCCAAAUAUGCAACCUGUGACACAGACCAUCACUAACAGUUAUAACUCAAAUGCCUCCUCAUCAUUACCACUCAAUUCUGGACUAUCCUUGUCUAACAGUGUUGUAUCAAGGAUGCAGCAAAGCAUGAAUGCACCACAGCAAAGCUCUGUACCAAAUGUCUAUGCACCAAAUGUCUAUGUCACAGCAACAUCAGGUGGUUGUGGAGAGGUCAGACCAACAGAUGGAAAUGGAGGCAAGGCAGCCAAAGCAAUUUUUCCUGAAAGUAACAUGGUCCCAAAAGGGAGUCUAUUUGGAGCAUUACAAAAGACAUCUCAGUUGAUGAAUUUGCCUGAGAGUAUUUCACGAAAGAGAAAGCAGGCUGAAUCAUCUCUACCAAUUGAUAUUUUAGAAGUACUAGUCUCAUCAGUCACGGCAAAUGACGCCUCCAUUCACUCCUCUCCUGGUCGCACAUGCACAAGAGCUGUUGCUGUUGUGCAACCGUUGUCACAGGAAAGCUGCCAGGUUGCCAACAAGCAUACCUAUUCUAACACAAUGAAUCAAUCGGCUGAGCACACCACAUCAGCUGAAUCUUUAAGCAACCCUGAGAAAUUAUUUAUUUCACCAACUGUGGCAAAAAACAAAAAGGAUCUGUAUAUCAGAGAAGGAUCCUUUCUUUACUCCCAAAACCCAAAUAAGGUAUCAUCUUCGGAUUCAGUUGGGAAUCAGGACUCAGACAAACAGUUAUGUGCAGAUGACACAGGAUCUGAACCAGCUACUGAAGACCAGUGUGUUGCAAUGACAGCUCAACAGUCAGUUGCCUCUGAAGUGACAGUAAGACAAAAUGGUGAUGAAGACAAAAGUGAGAGUCCAACUCAUGACAAUGUUAUUUUGCUUUCCUCUGUCCCAACAAAGCUAUGGACACUUGAUGCAUUAGAGAAGUUGAUAGAUGAUAAAGACAAAACUCAGAUGGAGCACAGUAACAACUCCACAGUGCUCAAUUUUGGAACCAAAUUAUUAGACCUGUUUUGGGAUGGUAACAGUAGUAACUUGGCAUGUAAGCUCAGGGCAGGCUGGUACAAGAGCCUACACACUGAUGUCACUGGAUACAUCAGCAAACAUCUAACAACAGAUUCUGUCAUACUGUCUGAACUAAAGCAUGGGUAUAAGAAGACACUCACAGGAUACCAUGUUCUCAAGGAUGAUGAAGUUUAUGUAGCACCGCCUUACAAAUCCUCAUGGUUGAAUGUCAAUGAGCAGCUCGAUGACAUUGAUAAAGAGUUUGGCUUCCCCUGGUCUUGGAAGCAUCAACUUUACCUGCCUGAGAGUCAGAGCCAGCCAGAUCAGGUAGAGACAGUCAAAAGCAUUCCUGCAGAAGUUGCAAGUGAGGUGCCUGACAAGAUCUUGUCUCAAACAGAGCUUGAACCUGUUCACUCGGGUGAAGAAAAGCGAGACUCCACUUGGAAGCAUCAUCUUUACCUGCCUGAGAGUCAGAGGCAGCCAGAUCAGGUAGAGACAGUCAAAAGCAUUCCUGCAGAAAUUGCAAGUGAGGUGCCUGACAAGAUCUCGUCUCAAACAGAGCUUGAACCUAUUCACUCGGGUGAAGAAAAGCGAGCCUCCACUCCUGGUGCAGCUUCAACACAAGCCGACUCCCCUGACGAAACAAAAUGUGAUGAUUCCAGUGACCCAUAUUACUCAUUUGAAAUCCAAGUUUUGUCUCCAGGAGAGGCCAGAGUUGUCUAUGAGCAAGCACAAAGCAAUGUGCCACGAAGUAUGGUGACAGACAGUCAAUCAGAGAGUGUCAUGAAUAGCUCUGUGGAGUGUGAACCACUGGAAGCCAUACCUGUCACAUUGAAUGCCUCAGAACCAGAGAUCAAGUCCAGUCGUCCGGUAGAAGAGGCGUGCUGCCUUUCAAAGUGGUUGGAAAAUAUUACGGGGUCAAAGCAACGUUUGAGUGGAUGCCAAUGCAGAAAUGAGAAGAAUCCUAAAGAUUGUGCUGAAAAAACCCACGACAAAGGAGAGAUGGUGGUAGAAAAGGAAGAUGACAUUUGUGCGAUCUGGUCUGGUAGCAAAUUUGACAUGGAAGGAGAGAAUCAAGCCAAGGGCCUGGAGAACAUCAGGUGUGAAAUGAUCACAUAUAGUCUGUCUGAACCAUGCAAUAAACUCAGUCAGACUCUUGCCUUUGCUGAAAAUGAUGACAAAUCUCUCUCAUACUCUGACAACAAACCAAAGAACAUUUCUCAGCCAAGCAUAAAUAGUAGCCCGUUGAGCAUUAUAGUUUUGAGUGAAAACAAAGAUGGAGAUCGCUCCAGCAGUGACACUUUAAUACAAUUGGACCCUGGAGUGGAUUGUAUUCAAGAAAAUGGGCAGUCAUGUACUGCAGUCAGUAGUGACAAAGACAUUGACAAUCCCCCUGGCAGUGAAAGUGGGAUUUCUAGCUGGGUAUCAGACCUUGAAGAGGAUUGUGGACAGGCUCAGCUGACACCUACAGAUGUGGAGUGUAGAGUGUCAACAUUGGAAACGGAAGAAGAAUUAACUCAAAUUAGUGCGACGGCGGCAAUGCAAACCACUUUCAGCUGCAGCAGUCCACUUGAAAAUGUGCAAAGAAAGUGCAAGAGACAAAGCAGUCAUGAUGGAACUUUCCCAUGCCUUAUGAAAUCAAACAAAUGCAAACCCCCUGGUGAUGUGGAUUCAGAGCCCUCAACAUGUAAGGUGGUUUCUACUGAUGAGACUGAUGGUGAGCUUUUAGCUUCAAAAGGCAGAGCUGUACAAUUGGUACUGUUUGGCUCAGCACCAAAAGACAAGUCUGUUUUGAUUGGGGGCAGAACGAGAUAUAAUUCAUCUCCAGCAGUUGUGCCUGAUGGAGUACCAAGGCCUCCAAGAAUUAUCUCUGUGAAGCUCAGUCCCUUGAAGAGAAAGCUUAGUGAUACUGUCCCGACAGGAGAACAGUCAGUUAAAUGGAGGAUUCACGAAAAAUGGAGAAGAAGUCUUCCAACACCUAAAAUGAGGCGCCAAAGCAAACUGAAAACAUGGAAGUGUACUUUUCCCUCUUCAUCUGGGUUUGCUAUCAAGAAAGCUGAAGCGAUUGGCCCCACCAACACUGAGAGGCUGCCAGUUUCUUCUGAAACAAGGAUCUCAAGUUCAAACUGUGGUACUAGGCGCUGCUUGAGUCUGAAGAAGAAGAGGAGGAGGUCUCUCCCUGCCAGACUCGAACAUAGAGAGGAGACGAUGAGGAAGUAUGUGGUCACCCUCAAACAGCCUGCUGAUCAAGAGAGAAGCAACACUGAACAUGGAAGUCAAGCUGGCAGGCCACUCCAGGAGAACAUCCUGAGAUUCAGCGUCUUACCCAACACCUUCGACUUCAAAGAUGGAUCCAACGACAGAAAAGAAACCGAUGACUCUGUUCCAAAUAAACCUGCCCUCGAUGAAGACAAAGACAGAAACCCCAAUAAGACUGUCCUGAGGCGAAUCGGUACAUGGUAUCCAAAUCCUGAGAAGAAGUAUAGCCCUCUGCUUUCGCCUUCUGUUCCCAAGACCUCCAGCCUCUUCCAGGAGUUUCAGAAGAAAUACAAGAAAAAGACACAGCCAUCAACGGAGGAAUUAAGUUUUAGUGGCAACAGAGAAAUCACAGACUGUCCUAACUCUGGGAAAUAAUUCAUUAAAAGAAAUUCCCUUCAAGAUUCUGACAGAAAUUGAUUUUCUGCUUUUGUACUGUAUAUUAAAGGGGUGAAUUGAAGUUAUGCCAGUUUUUAAGUAUUUGCUCGUAACACUCUACAGUCGAUGGUUCACGUAUUCUACACUAAAUGCUCAUUUGUUUACGUGGCUGUAACGACUUGCGAGUGAUCUACUUCAGAUAUAAUGUCUUCAUGUCUCAGAUAUUUUAUGCCAAAUGAUGAUUGUAACACAGAUGAGUCUUUUUAAGCCAUAUAUUUUCAUACCGUAUAUUUUGUAUUAUGUUUGUUCUUUUUCUACAUUAAGAAUAUUUUUGUAUGCAAUAUUUGCAUGUUAAAUGUAUAUUUUUAUAAGAAACCAGCAAUGGGAUGUAGUUUUUGACGUCCUGUACUUUUUCUUUUUUUUCUAACUCUGCAUGCAGUAUUCUCUUACAAUCACAAAAUGUAUCUUUAAGUUGUUGUACAUAACUGAGUAGAUGUGUGUGAGCUGCUUUGUAUGAAUGGGAGUAAGGGAAGGGGGUUGGACGCGUCCUGGCCCUCCCCUGCACUGAACCGGACAAAGAUGACAUUGUUCUUGUGAACAACUGUUUAAUGUUUGUUCUGCUGCUCUUUGUGUAAAUAAAGAUAUCUGUCUACAGUUGCUGAUGUUUGUUGUAUGGAGGAUUUUAAUAGGUUUUUCACACAGUCUGUAUCAUCGAGUCAUCACGAGGCAGUUACUUCCUUUGUUUGGCUUCUCUGGUGUCUCUGUCUCAGACAGAUAUUCCCACAUGUCACCUGUUUCAGCUGUCAACACUACAAUAUCUUAUGACAAAGCAGAUCAUACACUAUUG
ensembl:lncRNA